AGUGAACGCUGGCGGUAGGCCUAACACAUGCAAGUCGAACGGCAGCACAGUAAGAGCUUGCUCUUACGGGUGGCGAGUGGCGGACGGGUGAGGAAUACAUCGGAAUCUACUUUUUCGUGGGGGAUAACGUAGGGAAACUUACGCUAAUACCGCAUACGACCUACGGGUGAAAGCAGGGGAUCUUCGGACCUUGCGCGAUUGAAUGAGCCGAUGUCGGAUUAGCUAGUUGGCGGGGUAAAGGCCCACCAAGGCGACGAUCCGUAGCUGGUCUGAGAGGAUGAUCAGCCACACUGGAACUGAGACACGGUCAAGACUCCUGCGGGAGGCAGCAGUGGGGAAUAUUGGACAAUGGGGGCAAGCCUGAUCCAGCCAUACCGCGUGGGUGAAGAAGGCCUUCGGGUUGUAAAGCCCUUUUGUUGGGAAAGAAAAGCAGCAGGUUAAUACCCCGCUGUUCUGACGGUACCCAAAGAAUAAGCACCGGCUAACUUCGUG
rnacentral:rRNA from 1 species